GCACAGAUGACCACCGGUAGUCCGGUGUGGGGGCUUCAAACCCGUAGCUAAUGAGAAUCAGAGUGGUUCAAUUCCACCUUCUGGGCG